UCUCUCCUCUCAGCCUCUCACUCUUUCCUCCUCUCCUCUCUCUCUCUCCGACAGCGAGGCACGGAGCGGGAGCGGCGGCUGCUGCGCGGCGCGGCGCGUGGCAGCGGCGGGCUCGGCACCGGCGGCGGCGGCCUUCCUCGACCUCCCAUCCGGCGCGACAGCGGCAGGCUCGGCAACGGCGGUGGCCUCCCUUCACCAACCUCCCAUGCGCGGUGCUCCCUUCCUCGACGUACGGCAGCGGGCACGGCGACGACGACGGCGGGCACGGUGACGACGACGACGGAUCUGGACGGCGGGCAUGCAGCGGUCACGGCGACGGCGGCGGCGGCGGCGGAUGUGGACGGCAGCGGCGCCCUUUGCUCUCCUCUCCACCGAGCGUCGCCGCCAACCCUAGAUCCGCCUGCAGCUCCUCCGCUCCUCCACCCACCACCGCCGUAUCUUCCCUCAUCUGGCCAUCCACUCCGGUGAUGUCGAGCGCGUGGUGUCGCAAGAACGUUGCCUCGUUUGGUGAGAGGGGAUAGUGCAGCGAGCCGCCUCCAAUCCCUUCUGUCCCACUGCUACUCGCUGUCGCAGAGAGGAGAUUUGUCCGACCGGGUUUCAUGUUAAGCUGUGGCUUUAUUUCCCACCAUCCUCAGUCCCAUCCUAUUUCUCUUUCUUGUUCGAGCAAUCGAAUCUGAUUUAAGGAUCUGAUUUUCUCUUGCUAAUUUUCAGGAGUCAACCGUCUAUUUGCUGUCCCGUGCACCAACACGAACAUUGACCCGAUUUCAUUCUGACACAGUAGUAGUAAGUAUCACGAAUUGUGCAUUUUAUUCUAAAAUGUACUAGAUUUAUAUAGCGUUUGUCACACAUUGACUAGAAUGGAUCUGUUUAGUUAAUUUGUCUGCUGUGCUGCUGAUUUUAAAAGUUUAGUGUAUAGAGUUAAUAAAAACGUGUGUGAGCUGAUAGUUUGCAGGAGUGAUAAAAUUCCCAUGUGAGCAACUUUGUUGUUUUUAUAUCAGUGCAGUGUUUAGUAGGAGGAAAUGAAUUAAAGGACAAUUCAGGGGUUGGGUUGGUUGGGUCAGUGAAGAAAUCAGCAAAACUGCAGUCCACAAGAUACAAUGAAUUAUGCUUACAAGGUGUUUGUGUUAAUGACUGCAAGUUGACACUUCACAGCAUGUCCUUUGCAUUUUAACUACAAAAGGUCGUGUUCUAUGCAUGCUAACUCGUGCUCAUCACUAGUUGAUAGAUUUGUGCAGUUAUUUUUCCCUGAUUAUUAUGUUAUCUCACUAUAUGAUGCAAAAAUUUAAAGCUCAUGUUAUCUCAUGAUGUGAUAUGCUCUUUAUACAAUCUCUUAGUAGUUCUCCAAAGUGCCUCACCAAUUUGUGACUGACAUUUUUUCCCAAUAAAAUGCUAUGCUGACUAUCGCAUUAUAUAUCUCAUUUUUGAAACACAAUAGUAUGAGUACUUGCUUUUGAUUUUGUAUCGUAGUCAUUCACUCAAUAUGUAUGCUGCCUUGUUGUAAAAACAGGGUAGUAUGAAUUAAAUACUGAAGCCUAGAAAUUCACUCCCAUAGUACAACUGUAAAUUUGUAACUGAUUGAAUUGCAGUAAUUGCUUUGGUACUAAUAGGUAGUGUAAAUUGGUAUUGGUAACUGACUGAAACAAUACUCACUUCUCAUAUCCUGUCCAUGACAUCUACUGUUCAUGCUGGCUGUUUAUCUUUUCAUGUGCAGAUUCUAGUAUUCCACUCGGGUGUUUCCUGCAAUAAGCUGAUAUCUAACAAUUGCAAGGAUCUACACUCAAGUAUUAACUCAAGGCGACAAACAGCAGCCACCCAUCAUCUUGACUGAUUCGAUAUUGAAUUAUUGAUCUAUGGAAGAAUUUGUUGCUUUGGUCUGCUGAUAGAUAUAUUAAGAUGAAAUAUAUGUAGCUGCUUCAUCUGUUGAGAUGUCACAUGACUGUCUGAAUUUGUAGAUUAGGCAAGCUAGCUUGUCUUAAAGCUUUGAUAUUUCUUUAAUUAACAUGUGUAUGUUGAAACCUAAAUUUAUUUGGUGAAUUAUGUAGUUUCACCUUAUAUGGAUGUGAGCUGUGGUGUA